CUUUUGUCACCAACACAAGCACCUGAGUGGAUGCCUUGGAUCAACGGACAGGGAACUUGGGAAUCAGCUUCUUGGGGCAAGAUCACCUCUUCUAUUUGACCCAUAUGGAUGUGAGUACCAGGCUUUCUAUGUUGUGGGAGUGAUUUACAGCAAGGCCCUGGAGAUUGACGCUCAUGGAUUUGAUGAUGCUUCAUGCCAGCCAGAAGAGGGGAAUCCCCUGCUUUCAAAUCCUGGCUAACUAGAUGGUGAUCGGGGAAAAACUAUUUACAGUAUGCAGUCUUAUAUUUUCUAUUCUUAACUCAUAUGUGCUUUUUGUUUUGAGACCAGCCAGGGGCCUGAGGAAUGAAGAUUAGAUUGGAUUGGAUAGGAUUGGAUUAGAAGCCUUGUGGAGUGGCUUGACACAUGGGUUUUGGAGGCAGCAGCCUACCUACGGACAAAUGGUAUGAAGAAGGACGGGGAAAAGUGAGCUGGGGCAGAUGGAAGCCUCAAGUCUGACAAAGUGAAUCUUUCAUCCUCUUCACAAUACCUAGGAUGUCUUGUAUCCUGGGAGAUACAAGGCAUUUUUUUGUUGUUGCCUCAGUUUUUAAUGUUCAAAUGCUGCUGUGGCUAAGAGUAAGGCUGCAGAUUCUCUGUGCUGCCAUCUUGAAUUCCCACCUGCUCUCCCUCUUGGGAUCCUUUUGACCUCCACAAUAUUUAUCUGCUAAGAGACAAUGAGGCCAUGAGUCCUGCAGCCCACACUUCUUCAGACAAUUUAUAUUUUUGGAUGAGAUCUCCAGAAGGGCAUUGCUCACCUCUUCUAUAUUUUGCAAACAAUUCUAGAAUCUUAAUCAAAGAACCAUUGGCUACACAUUGGCUACACACUGGCUACAUUGCUCAAAAAGUUGGCAUUUUAGGGACAACGUACUCCGCUUGAGAUCCAAGCUGGUGGAGUUUUUCUUUGCUUAGUAUCCUCCACCAUCUAGGUUUUAAACUAGAUGUUGUUUGGCAGGUGUGUCCCAUAGCUUUCGGUUUGUGGUGGUGCUUCCCUUGUGUCAUCUUCUCUCUUAUUCUCAUUCCUUUUUAAAAAUGUUAUUAUUUUUGGUAGGUUUAAGAGUUGAGCAUCAAGCAAAAAUGUACUUUCUUAACCAUCUUCAAAUGAACAAUUCCUGUGACUUUUAGAUUAAGAGAGAUGAUAAUCUAGGGCUUCUAUAUCUCCCGAUUUUAAUUGUAAGACAGAUGCAAAUUUAGCUUAAGAAUUUAGGCUAAGAGCCAAGGGAUCGUAGGAUCAAUAUUUAUAUGUGGCCCAAAUAAGUUUUGUCAGGAGGAAUUUGAGCAUAACAAUGAUAAUAUUGACUAUAGCUGCUUGAAUGCCUAUGAUGGUCCAGGAGCUUGGUUGAUGCUUUGCUUAUUUCAAUUCAAAUCCAAACAAGAACCUGCAGCCCACACUUCUCCAGACAAUUUAUAUUCUUGGAUGGGAUCUCCAGAAGGACAUUGCCACCUCUUCUAUAUUUUGCAAACAAUUCUAGAAUCUUAAUCAAAGAACCACUGGCUACACAUAGGCCACAUUGCUGAGGUGAGGUUUGUUAACCCCAUUUUACCAGAGGAAAAAGAGAAAAGUGAGAAUAUGAAAGAUCAGGUGCCUGGAUGAUAAAUCACUGAGCUUGCAUUCAAAAUCAAGUGACUUUCACUUCCUGAUUCCUCCUCCUAUUUUUCUCUAUAGACAAUAUGUGAAGUCUAAAAAUAAAAUUUUAAUUCAGUAGAAGUUUCAGCAAACCCUAGUAAUUUCUUUUUCCUCAUGCCCUUUGCUUUGAGUUUAAUCUCUGUGGCUAUUUUAGCGGCACCUCAUGGGUACUUUUCCCUGGGCUCACUUAUUAUCAGUGUCCAUUCACUAACCAGUGUAUAACGGGAACUGUUAAGUGUGCCUGGAUGAGAAGGGGGCUUUUUUUGUACUUUUAUAGCUAUUAUUGAUGGGUUCAAUAAUUUGGUCUAUUUCCAAUCAAUAUGUUCUAUGCUAGGCUGAAGAGAACCAACUUCAAAAACUUUGUAAAGUUGAACUCUGGCCACAGCAUCCUUUCACUCACUCAGCAAUUGCAAAUAACACAAUGAGAGUGAUUACACACUGUCUUCAUCUUCACAUUCUCUCACUUCCUCAUGGUACAUCUCCUAACCCAGUUUCUUUUCUUGCUGUAUCUGGUGUCGGCUGAGGGGAUAACCUACCACCUGGUUAGGAGAACUGCCCCUCCAGCCCUCCUCUGUGUAUUGAUCUCCAGCAUUCAGUGGGUUCACAGGUGUCUGCCCGCAGAGUCUCUGCUUUGCUUUUGUCAUGGAGGCACGGUGAGUGUUGUGACUCUACAGUCCUUUAGUCUUUUGUAUUUGCUUAAACAUUUAAAAAAGUUUUUUAAUAAAAAAAUGAAUCUAGAGUGAUUAUUUUCACAUCAUCAUUAGAAACAUUUCCAUAGGUGACCAAAAGCUUCAGUGAUAGAAACUAGUAAGACAUUAUUAAGAAAAUGUGCUUAAAUUCAAGUUACAUUUGACCAUUUUCAAAAACUUGCUUUCCUCCUUCUCCCACCAGAAAUAUCUACUUCCCCACCUUAAAACGGUACUUUCAGCUUGACCUCCUCUGGUGGUACAUAGCUUGGUAGCAUUUGGUGCAUAGCAUUUGCCACUUAAUAUUGAACUUACCUAUGUGUGGUUCUGUCUCUCUAAGGUGUUCCUUGAGUUCCCAUCUUCUCUAAGAAGUUUCCACUUGUAUCCUCAGUAUCCAGUCCAGAAACCAGCAAAAAAUUGAUUGUCUAGAGAAUGUUUCCUGCAGGGCAUCAUGAAAAAGCUAAUAUUUAUAGAACACUCUUUGAAAAAACGGCUUCAUGAUUAAAGAGUGGUGGGAGAGGGAACCUGACUGCUUUGUAGCUCCUAAGCCUGCCACACCGUGGGCAGACACCCGUGAACCUACUGAAGGUUGGAGAUUAAUACACAAGAGGAUGGGUGGAGAGGGAGUUCUCCUAACUGCUCCUUGCAGGACCUGACUGUAGCUUCCAGGGUUCCACCCUAGCAGCAGUUCUCUGGGAGGCCAAUCUCAUUACCAGUGGUUCUCAACAUCAAGAUGGUGUGUUGCCAUAUCCAGACCUUGAGUGGACUUUCCAAUGAUCAAGAAGUCAAGUAACCUCUCUCUUCAUGGCUGUUAAAAACUUCGGCCAACAUAGCAUACUCAGUACAGGAUUGGAUUGAGGCAAUGAUACUGUGCUAUAAAAGUGAGAGGCCAUCAUGCAUUUAUACCCACAUCUUGACACAUACACGUC
rnacentral:lncRNA from 10 species